AUCCUAAGAGAUGGAAAAUCCUUGUAUCAAGGGUGCACUCUGCAUGAACAUUGAAAGAUAAUUGGGUUAAUAUUCCCAAACCAGGACAUGGUGGUGGAUGACAAUGUUAGGAAAUUUGGAGAUGUCAUCGGGGGCCUGGGAAGAGUUAUAUUUUCUUUUUAACGACUUUACCACCCUGAAAUCGGUUCAACCAGAGAUAGGGUCCAACAUCUGGAAGAGAACCACACGUCUUGCAGUGUUUGGUGCCCCCUCGAUAGCCAUUAAAAAUAUGGAGAACUGAGUACCAUCCAUGCCUGAUCGUACUCAUAUAUGCCUCCUU
rnacentral:ncRNA from 1 species